AUUGAACGCUGGCGGCAUGCCUUACACAUGCAAGUCGAACGGUAACAGGUCUUCGGAUGCUGACGAGUGGCGAACGGGUGAGUAAUACAUCGGAACGUGCCCGAUCGUGGGGGAUAACGAGGCGAAAGCUUUGCUAAUACCGCAUACGAUCUACGGAUGAAAGCGGGGGAUCUUCGGACCUCGCGCGGACGGAGCGGCCGAUGGCAGCUUAGGUAGUUGGUGGGAUAAAAGCUUACCAAGCCGACGAUCUGUAGCUGGUCUGAGAGGAUGAUCAGCCACACUGGGACUGAGACACGGCCCAGACUCCUACGGGAGGCAGCAGUGGGGAAUUUUGGACAAUGGGCGAAAGCCUGAUCCAGCCAUGCCGCGUGCAGGAUGAAGGCCUUUGGGUUGUAAACUGCUUUUGUACGGAACGAAAAGCCUCUUUCUAAUAAAGAGGGGUCAUGACGGUACCGUAAGAAUAAGCACCGGCUAACUACGUG
rnacentral:rRNA from 1 species